rnacentral:rRNA from 1 species
UUCCAGACUCCUACGGGAGGCAGCAGUGGGGAAUAUUGCACAAUGGGGGGAACCCUGAUGCAGCGACGCCGCGUGGGUGAAGAAGCGCCUCGGCGCGUAAAGCCCUGUCAGCAGGGAAGAAAAUGACGGUACCUGAAGAAGAAGCCCCGGCUAACUACGUGCCAGCAGCCGCGGUAAUACGUAGGGGGCAAGCGUUAUCCGGAUUUACUGGGUGUAAAGGGGGCGCAGACGGCGAUGCAAGCCAGGAGUGAAAGCCCGGGGCCCAGCCCCAGGACUGCUCUUGGAACUGCGUGGCUGGAGUGCAGGAGGGGCAGGCGGAAUUCCUGGUGUAGCGGUGAAAUGCGUAGAUAUCAGGAGGAACACCGGUGGCGAAGGCGGCCUGCUGGACUGCAACUGACGUUGAGGCCCGAAAGCGUGGGGAGCAAACAGGAUUAGAUACCCGAGUA